GAUGGGUUUUCUCUUAUGAUGUGUAGAAAUGUCAAUUGUGAUGUUUUCCAUGAAGAUGAACAAUGAAUGAAAAAUUAUAUGUGUUACAUAUUUUAGAUUUAAAUCAGAUUAUGCAUGUAUUUUAUAUAUUUUAGAUUGUUAAAUAUUAUAUGUGAUAUAUUGUUUUGACACACGAUCUAAAACUUAAUUUUUACAAAAUUCUAGAUCCAA
rnacentral:lncRNA from 1 species